rnacentral:lncRNA from 1 species
AUAUUUUUUUGAGGAUACAGUGAUGUUUUGUUUGAUCUGUCUGGUUUGGUGGAUCUAUAUUGUUACAACCAUCAUUACAGAGAUAUACUGGAGGGUUCAUGUGUUAUUUUCUUUUUUUUAGAUAGCCACCUUAAUUAUGGGACCAUCUCCUACUUUGGAGUACCCCAUUUUGCAUUGUUUUUGAAAGACAAAACCAUUACUUGAUUCCACAGCUACCAAUAUAGCAACUGUUUUGGCUACUAUCUCACAUCAAUCCAUCAGCUUUGUAUGUGGCAGUUCAUUACCUUCUGAUCGAGGAUCAUCUUAAGAGGACUUCAUUGGACAACAGUGUGUUUUUGAAAAGAUAAGGCUAUAUUUUUUUUAUUGUUACUUAAAUUCCUAAUAACUUUGAUUUUUGUGUACUUUUUGUAAACUGCUCUAUAUCGAUAUAAACCAGGUACAUUUUAUAGUUCUUUUAAAAGGUAAAUAAGUAAUGGUCAAUAAUAAUUCUAAAUAAAUUCAGGCAUAAAAUUUUAUAAGAAAGUAAAUACAUUAUUACAAGGAUUUUCACAUUUAAAUAUUAUUAAAUUUAUAUAUAAAAGUCAUUGAACCCGACUCAUUUCAAUAAAUUUCAGAUAUUUCCCAGCAUCUAUAGUGUAAGCUUAGUUCUUCCAUAUAGAUCUGGUAUGUAAGAUUUGGACACUUGAUAGUCCAGUUAGAUAUUAAGUACUAACAAUAUUAUUAAGACGUUGGCUAUUCUCACGGACUCGAUGAUACAUUUCUACUAAUACCUUUUUGCUUAGCACAGUAGUGGUUUUUUUUAUAUUUACUAGUGGCUUUUCGGUCGUAUUUUAUCUCAACACCCUACUGUUUUCAUGGUUUCUAUUUACCUAAUAUGUAAAUAAAGUAUGUAUACUUUUACUUACUUUAUAGAUUUAUUUAACAGAUAUUGUUUAAUAUAAAUAAAUUAUCAAUAUAUUUGUCAUUCAUA